GACGAACGCUGGCGGCGUGCUUAACACAUGCAAGUCGAACGCUGAAGCUCAGCUUUUGUUGGGUGGAUGAGUGGCGAACGGGUGAGUAACACGUGAGUAACCUGCCCCCUUCUUUGGGAUAACGCCCGGAAACGGGUGCUAAUACUGGAUAUUCACUGGUCUUCGCAUGGGGGUUGGUGGAAAGGGUUUUUCUGGUGGGGGAUGGGCUCGCGGCCUAUCAGCUUGUUGGUGGGGUGAUGGCCUACCAAGGCUUUGACGGGUAGCCGGCCUGAGAGGGUGACCGGUCACAGUGGGACUGAGAUACGGCCCAGACUCGUACGGGGGGCAGCAGUGGGGAAAAUUGCACAAUGGGCGCAAGCCUGAUGCAGCGACGCCGCGUGGGGGAUGGAGGCCUUCGGGUUGUGAACCUCUUUCGCUCAUGGUCAAGCCGAAACAAUGGUUGUGGUGAGGGUAGUGGGUAAAGAAGCGCCGGCUAACUACGUG
rnacentral:rRNA from 1 species